rnacentral:sRNA from 2 species
UGGUCCUGCCCUUAGGGGCGUUUCCUCCCUAACUGGCCGCGCCGAAAGGCGCGGCUUUUUGUUUGUCCGAG